GAGUAAGGAUCUUUCAGACAAGGAAACAGGGUGACGAUCCCUAAAGCAUAGCGGGUCCUUACACUCAUGGGUGGAGCCCUCCUUAAAAAGGAAAGAACAGGGGUCAACAAGGUUCCAGACAAUAUCCGAUUUCUCCUCCAACACAUCAGUAAAGACAUCCUCAUCAACCUCUGUCCCAGUUUCAUCUAAAAGGUAGAUACUUGACUCCUGAGAGAUGCCAAACUUCUCUUUCGCUGUAAAUGCAUGAAGAAUAUUUUUAUAUUUACAUAUUUUCAAUUCAUUUUUGACAUUUCAUUGUAAUUUGUCUAAUAAUCUGCAUUCAGAAACGUUUAACGAACAGAUUAAACAAACAGGGUUGAGCAUGUUCUUAACUUGUAAACUUGGAAAGGCUUGGUUGGACUAAAUAAAUUACCUUCUCUCAAGAA